GACGAACGCUGGCGGCGUGCUUAACACAUGCAAGUCGAACGGAAAGGCCCUGCUUUUGUGGGGUGCUCGAGUGGCGAACGGGUGAGUAACACGUGAGUAACCUGCCCUUGACUUUGGGAUAACUUCAGGAAACUGGGGCUAAUACCGGAUAGGAGCUCUUGCUGCAUGGAGGGGGUUGGAAAGUUUCGGCGGUUGGGGAUGGACUCGCGGCUUAUCAGCUUGUUGGUGGGGUAGUGGUUUACCCAGGCUUAGACGGAUAGCCGGCCUGAGAGGGUGGCCGGCCACAUUAAGACUGAGAGACGGCGCAGUCUGCUACGGUAGGCAGCAGUGGAGAAUCUUGCACAAUGGGCGGAAGCCUGAUGCAACAACGCUCCGUGUGGGAAGACAGCCUUCGGGUUGUAAACCGCUUUCGCCUGAGACGAAGCGUGAGUGACGGUAAUGGGUAAAGAAGCACCGGCUAACUACGUG
rnacentral:rRNA from 1 species